AACAUCUUAAUACAAGAACAAAACAAGCCUUCUCCCUUUGAAAAUUCUGAAUUCACAGCUAGCCAUCUGAAUGAUGGAACCCGGGGCAUAGAAGAAAUCAACUUACUGACAUCAACAUUCAAAAGAUGACAUUUAUACAAGGCUUCGACAAGACUGGACUCUUUAUAACGAGGCCAUCUACUUAUUUGUUGAGAAAGCAAUGUAUUUUUAUGAAGCAAGAGAAUUUUGUCAGGAAAAGAAGUCCCUCUUGGUUUGUAUUGAAAAUGAAGAAGAGGAGGAUUUCCUAGAAAAAAUAGUCAGGAAUAAACAUGAACAUUACUGGAUUGGAUACGUUUUUUAUAACGGUUGGAAAUGGCUCGAUGGUGUAAGUGGUCGAAAAAGUUUCUGGCAGUUUGGCCAACCAAGGGAUGUAGUGAAUCAACCCUGUGUCAUGAUAAAAAGCGAUUGCGUCACACAGAGAAAGUGCUGGGCAGGCAUGGCUUGCUACGUUUCUAUCCGAAGCAUUUGUAAGAAGAAGCCGGAUAAAAAGUGGUACACAUAGAACCUUUCAGUAUCGAUGAAACUGGAUUCAGUGAUCUCGACAGAGAAAUAAGGUCAACGGAUUGAUCCCUCGCUCCCCAUAAUACAGAAGUCACGCUGGAUCAGUCGUCUAGAUAAUGGAACUGUGGCGUGGAAGAGCUGAACAUCUCUGGUGUCAGCCUUCGGAAGAAUCUAUCUCUCUGCUUUAUUGUGAUUGGGAAAAAUAUACUUUAUUUUGCAACUUCAAAGAGUUAAACGUCUGUGAAAAUAAAGUGUACAACAGCUCACUUCCUGUUGCA
rnacentral:lncRNA from 1 species